UACGUAGGGUGCAAGCGUUGUCCGGAAUUAUUGGGCGUAAAGAGCUCGUAGGCGGUCAGUCGCGUCUGCUGUGAAAACUCGGGGCUUAACUCCGGGCCUGCAGUGGGGUACGGGCUGACUAGAGUGCGGUAGGGGGAGACUGGAAUUCCUGGUGUAGCGGUGAAAUGCGCAGAUAUCAGGAGGAACACCGGUGGCGAAGGCGGGUCUCUGGGCCGUAACUGACGCUGAGGAGCGAAAGCGUGGGGAGCGAACAGG
rnacentral:rRNA from 1 species